GGGGCUCGAACCCGCAGCUCCGC
rnacentral:tRNA from 1 species